AAUUAUAAAUAAAAAUAAUAUUAAAAAACAACGAAAUGUUUGUAUUUGACCGGCUUCCGGUAGAGGACUCGCGCAAAUUUUUCGCAGAUACACGAAGUGUUUAUACAUGUUUAGAAUUUAAUAUCUUUAAAGCAGCUAAGCUCUUUGCUUAAGCUUCGUACUUGCAAAGAUAGAAUAAUAUUUUAAUUAAACGUAUAAACAUUAAUAAGUAUUAUUAAUUUAUAUUAAUUUUGCAGAACUAGCUAACAUCUCGCAACCUAACCUACAAAUUGAAAGCCAAUCUCAACAAGCUUCACCAAAUUAAACGAAGGAUGCUGAUCUAAACAAUUUUUCUAAAAAAUUAAUAUCAAUCUGGAAGAACCAUAUUAAUCUCCACACGUAUAUGGAUAAAAAAGUAUUAAAAGUAUAUGUAUAAAAUAACAAACAUAGAAAAUAUCAAACAGUAACUAAAAGCUCAAGGUUUUAUAGGAAAUAAACUUUUAAGUAGUUAAUGAUAUAGAAUUAUAAAACUUGUUCAAAGAUUUACAUAUAAUGUACAAAAUUUUAUCGAGUCGUAUAAUACUUUACGAAUUACCCGUAAUAUGGUUAGUAUAAUGCAACAUGGACUAAUAUUAAUAUAUAAAUAUAAGUAUAAGAAAAUAAACGCUUAAUAUUUUUA